ACUACCAGCUGCUACAGCACGGCCUCCAGCCGCAAGCACAGCAGCGCACACACACCCUGCAGCAGCUACGCUACACACUGCACACACACAGCAAGGAGUUGUCGGAUGUGACAUCGGGCAUGAGUCCAGCCACUAAGAAACAGCAGGAGUCCUUCAAUCAGAGUUGUGCUGGCCGGCGCUCUCUGGACUCUGAGAUCCAGCACCAACUCAGCCAGCUGGACCACAUACUGCAGCGGGAGGAGCAGAGAGGACGAG